GAUGAACGCUGGCGGCGUGCCUAAUACAUGCAAGUCGAGCGAACAGAUAAGGAGCUUGCUCCUUUGACGUUAGCGGCGGACGGGUGAGUAACACGUGGGUAACCUACCUAUAAGACUGGAAUAACUCCGGGAAACCGGGGCUAAUGCCGGAUAACAUUUAGAACCGCAUGGUUCUAAAGUGAAAGAUGGUUUUGCUAUCACUUAUAGAUGGACCCGCGCCGUAUUAGCUAGUUGGUAAGGUAACGGCUUACCAAGGCAACGAUACGUAGCCGACCUGAGAGGGUGAUAGGCCACACGGGAACUGAGACACGGUCCAGACUCCUACGGGAGGCAGCAGUAGGGAAUCUUCCGCAGUGGGCGAAAGCCUGACGGAGCAACGCCGCGUGAGUGAUGAAGGUCUUCGGAUCGUAAAACUCUGUUAUUAGGGAAGAACAAAUGUGUAAGUAACUGUGCACGUCUUGACGGUACCUAAUCAGAAAGCCACGGCUAACUACGUG
rnacentral:rRNA from 1 species